GCACCCCAGGGACCUGCCCAGAGAGGCAGGAGCAGCGCAGCAGGGGGUGGCCCCGCGGCCACCGGCCACCCACAAGCCCUCGGCAGACCCGCGGGGCCACGCCACGCGACACUUCUGUCUCGUCAAGGGACAGAGGGGCCAAGACAGACUCCACGGGACUGUCAGGCAUGCGCGCACGCACGGGAGAUCUCUGCGCUGUCUAACACAGGCAAGUGGUUAGUGACAGAAUGUCAUUACCUUCACUUGUGCUGAAGGCCAUUCCUUGCUCGUCAUACUGCAAAGGUUC